UUGGGUGACUUUAAUGAAAUAUUAUAUUCUUCGGAGAAAGAGGGCGGUAACGCGAGACCAAAUGGCAUGAUGAGGGAGUUCCGUGAAUGUCUUAUGGACUGUGGACUAGAGGAUUUAGGAUACAUCAACGAUCCUUUUACUUGGAGUAGAGGUGAUAUUUGAGAGCGUCUUGACCGCGCAGUGUGCAAUGUAGGGUGGGCUCAUAAAUUUCCUCGUGCAGCAGUGAUCAACGAAGAACAUGUUCACUCUGACCACCGUCCGCUAGUCCUGGAUAUGAACUAUCUGGAUGACAACAUUUUUAGACUACCAACGGGGUGUGUAAAACAAUUUGAAGCUAAAUGGCUAAAGGAAGAGACUGUUAAUGAAAUUGUUAAGGCAUCUUGGGAAAGAGCAAAGUUAGCAGGCAUUGGCCCUUCCCUUGCAGACCGAACGAGAGCCGUGCAUGCCGAUUUACACAACUGGUACCGCGAAAUCCUUAAGGGUCCGAAGCGGAGAAUUAAUAAACUGAAAAAAGAGUUAGAGAGACUGAGGCGUGGUCCAAUGAACACGGAAUCCCGUUGUCGUCAGAAGGAAAUUAUGGUGGUAAUCGAGAACCUCUUGGACCAAGAGGAAAUCUUCUGGCUUCAGAGAGGCCGUGCGAAUUGGUUGAUGCACGGGGAUUGUAACACGUCGUUCUUCCAUAACGCAGCCACGGCCAGAAAGAAAAGGAAUAACAAUUAA
rnacentral:rRNA from 1 species